rnacentral:rRNA from 1 species
CCUACGGGAGGCAGCAGUGGGGAAUAUUGGACAAUGGGCGAAAGCCUGAUCCAGCCAUGCCGCGUGUGUGAAGAAGGCCUUCGGGUUGUAAAGCACUUUCAGUGGGGAAGAAAGCCUUGGGGCUAAUACCCUCGAGGAAGGACAUCACCCACAGAAGAAGCACCGGCUAACUCCGUGCCAGCAGCCGCGGUAAUACGGAGGGUGCGAGCGUUAAUCGGAAUUACUGGGCGUAAAGCGCGCGUAGGCGGUCUGAUAAGCCGGUUGUGAAAGCCCCGGGCUCAACCUGGGAACGGCAUCCGGAACUGUCAGGCUAGAGUGCAGGAGAGGAAGGUAGAAUUCCUGGUGUAGCGGUGAAAUGCGUAGAGAUCGGGAGGAAUACCAGUGGCGAAGGCGGCCUUCUGGACUGACACUGACGCUGAGGUGCGAAAGCGUGGGUAGCAAACAGGAUUAGAUACCCGAGUAGUC